rnacentral:rRNA from 1 species
UACGUAGGGUGCAAGCGUUGUCCGGAAUUAUUGGGCGUAAAGAGCUCGUAGGCGGUCUGUCGCGUCGGCUGUGAAAACCCGGGGCUCAACCCCGGGCCUGCAGUCGAUACGGGCAGACUAGAGUGCGGUAGGGGAGACUGGAAUUCCUGGUGUAGCGGUGAAAUGCGCAGAUAUCAGGAGGAACACCGGUGGCGAAGGCGGGUCUCUGGGCCGUAGCUGACGCUGAGGCGCGACAGCGUGGGGAGCAAACAGG